AUCAUGUACCUCAAUUUGCAAUUAUAAGCUAAUGAAUAUCUUUACUUGCUGUUCAUCUGCUUCUUCUCCAGCCCCCACAAGGAACAGGAUCAUCCCUGUAAAAUCUUCAGGAACAGAACCCAGUGCCUCACCUGUGUCUUGCCACUAUGAGCAUUGAAUUCAGCCACUGUUUCCUUGCUGCUCACUUUGAUGGUCCCAUUUACGGUGGGCGGUCCCUGCUCACAUUACACAGGUUUUUUCCAACCUCUAGUCCUGAAUCCAACUUGGCAUGUACUACAAGCUCUUCAAACAAGAGAUUUCUCCCCAGACAUGCUCCUCCCCUGUGGACCCUUAGCAGUUGGUAGGUGUCACCAUCUACCUAGUUGGGCAAAACAUGCUUCUGUGAGUUAUUCUCUUCUGACCACUAAAUGUCAUCUUUUUGGAAGACUCCUGGUCUGGACUGUUCUGUCAUUCAUUAAAGCAACAGUCUGCAUAUAGUUUUGGACUCAAUACUGAUGAGUUCUGAAAAUUUUAACCCAUAUUUACAAGGCUAACUGUGCCCAACAAAGAGAAGACGAGAUGUGAGAGAACAAGAAUGGAAGUAAACCUCCUUCUCGGAGACACAUUGACCUGUAUGUAGGUGUCCAGUGCUGAUAAUCGAGCCCGUGCUUUUGCUCCUGAGAUGUCUCUGAGCAAGGUAUUAGGAGAAUGACACCCCUGGCAUUCACACAUGGCCAUCUCCCUGAGUCCUCUUCUUUGGGAGAAAGAAACUGGAAGGUUCAAGGCUCAUUAUUCUGAAGGAUUUCAGAGGGAGUAGUCUUCCAUCAAAUGGGAAAUGUGGGGCUUUUGCUGUAUUUAAAAAAGAGUGAAUAUGAGCCUUUCAUCCAUCCCCAAUUUCAUAUGCUGCUGUUAAUUUAUUACAACAAUGGUUCAUGGGCAAAGUAAUUCAAACAAAGCAGCUCAAUUUCCAGUUUGCUAACAAAGAAUGUAUAUUAAAAGUGUGAAUAAAAUGUGAUUUAUAAGAAAUCAAUAUUUUAAAAUCCUUUGAAACCUAAUUCCUG
rnacentral:lncRNA from 1 species